GAAGCAAAAAGUGGAAAUGUUUUUCUGGAACUAAUGAGAGUAGCUUUGAAUAGCUCUUCCUUUUGUGUGAGAGGGGAAACUACAGUUUCAGAUAUUUGGCUACUUGUUUUAUAGGAGUUCCAGUGCCAGGAAAGUUUUUGUUAGUGGA